AGUAUGCUAAUACUGUGAUUUAUUAUUUGGCAUGAUAUGAUAUGAUUCUGUGAUAAACAUGCUGAUGAUGUAUGAUGGUAUGCAUAAUGCUGUGAAUGUAUCUGUUAUGUAUGCAAUUAUGAAUGGACUGUUUAUGGCUUAGAGUGUGAGCAUAUGUCUAUCUUGGAUUGUUGUUGAUGUUUGCAUGCUAGGUGAUUUAGCGUGUAUAGCAUGGCCUUUAUGGUGGUAGCUAAUUCC
rnacentral:lncRNA from 1 species